AUUGUUUGUUUUUAUUUAUCCAUUUUUUUUUUUUUUUUACUCUCGCAACUUUUCAAGCAAUUUUUCAUUUGUCCAGUCAGAUGUGAUAUCAACAAGAUGGUCAGAGAA
rnacentral:ribozyme from 13 species